AUUGAACGCUGGCGGCAUGCCUUACACAUGCAAGUCGAACGGCAGCACGGGGCAACCUGGUGGCGAGUGGCGAACGGGUGAGUAAUGCAUCGGAACGUACCUUUCAGUGGGGGAUAACGUAGCGAAAGUUACGCUAAUACCGCAUAUUCUGUGAGCAGGAAAGCAGGGGAUCGCAAGACCUUGCGCUGAUUGAGCGGCCGAUGUCAGAUUAGCUAGUUGGUGAGGUAAAGGCUCACCAAGGCGACGAUCUGUAGCGGGUCUGAGAGGAUGAUCCGCCACGCUGGAACUGAGACACGGUCCAGACUCCUACGGGAGGCAGCAGUGGGGAAUUUUGGACAAUGGGGGCAACCCUGAUCCAGCCAUGCCGCGUGAGUGAAGAAGGCCUUCGGGUUGUAAAGCUCUUUCGGCCGGGAAGAAAUCGCACGGGCUAAUACCCUGUGUGGAUGACGGUACCGGAAUAAGAAGCACCGGCUAACUACGUGCCAGCAGCCGCGGUAAGAC
rnacentral:rRNA from 1 species